rnacentral:rRNA from 1 species
AGUGAACGCUGGCGGUAGGCCUAACACAUGCAAGUCGAACGGCAGCACAGUAAGAGCUUGCUCUUACGGGUGGCGAGUGGCGGACGGGUGAGGAAUACAUCGGAAUCUACUUUUUCGUGGGGGAUAACGUAGGGAAACUUACGCUAAUACCGCAUACGACCUACGGGUGAAAUCAGGAGAUCUUCGGACCUUGCGCGAUUGAAUUAGCCGAUGUCGGAUUAGCUAGUUGGCGGGGUAAAGGCCCACCAAGGCGACGAUCCGUAGCUGGUCUGAGAGGAUGAUCAGCCACACUGGAACUGAGACACGGUCCAGACUCCUACGGGAGGCAGCAGUGGGGAAUCUUGGACAAUGGGCGCAAGCCUGAUCCAGCAAUACCGCGUGAGUGAAGAAGGCCUUCGGGUUGUAAAGCCCUUUUGUUGGGAAAGAAAAGAAGCAGGUUAAUCCCCCGCUGUUCUGACGGUACCCAAAGAAUAAGCACCGGCUAACUUCGUG